GACAGAGGGGGCAAGCGUUGCUCGGAAUUAUUGGGCGUAAAGAGCUCGUAGGCGGUUUGUCGCGUCUGCUGUGAAAACCGGAGGCUCAACCUCCGGCCUGCAGUGGGUACGGGCAAACUAGAGUGCGGUAGGGGAGAUUGGAAUUCCUGGUGUAGCGGUGGAAUGCGCAGAUAUCAGGAGGAACACCGAUGGCGAAGGCAGAUCUCUGGGCCGUAACUGACGCUGAGGAGCGAAAGCGUGGGGAGCGAACAGG
rnacentral:rRNA from 1 species